UAACAGGCUACUACCUCCUUGUAAGCCCC
rnacentral:piRNA from 1 species